UAUCAUAAAUACCUCCAAGAUACAUAGCUUUCCAUACAAGCAAAUAAGCACCAAAACCUAAAAGACAUAAAUGAAUUCCUAGAAUAGUAGUCAUCUUAUUUUUAUCUUUCCA
rnacentral:antisense_RNA from 1 species